rnacentral:lncRNA from 1 species
AAGUUCUAUUUAUAUUGGACUAAAAUUAAUAACUCUUAUGAAUCCAGAGGACAAAUAGGAAGUAGACACAGAAAACCAGUGAUGAAUCCCUGAUGCUGUACUUUGAAAACCUUAGGGUAUAAACACUGAAGUCCCAGAGAAAAAUCUGAGAUGGACUCCAGGGAAGAAGACUUUCUCCCACAUGCCCAUGUCUUGGUGAAGAGCCAACACACUUAUAUAAACAGCUCCUGUUGCUGAUCUUCAGGUAAUGCAUAAAAUCAAAAGAGAAUAACUUUUAUUCAAUUUAUAUGCAUUGAAUCUUCAAAGAU